GUCGACGUACUUCAUAGGAUCAUUUCUAUAGGUCACGUCCCUCUUUGACUCUUCAAAAGAGCCACUGAAUCCAACUUGGUUGAUGAGUGAGAUUACCCUUGUACCCUCAAAGUGAGAAAUAACAUGAAAUUUUUGCUUGACUGUGAUUCUUUGCAAUCUGGUCAUCUACUUAUAAUGUUUUGCCUUUGACUUGAUGCUAGCCUUUCUUUUUUGAAGGUAAUGCAGCUAUUAUAAAGGAGCGAUGAUCUUUACCCUUUUCAUUGUGCCUUCUAGGAGGAUUUUGAAUUGGGUGGGUACAAGUGGCUGUCUGACAAGU
rfam:Candida albicans SC5314 chromosome 3 sequence.